rnacentral:rRNA from 1 species
AACUUAAAGGAAUUGGCGGGGGAGCACCACAACGGGUGGAGCUUGCGGUUUAAUUGGAUUCAACGCCGGAAAUCUUACCGGGACCGACAGCAAUAUGAAGGCCAGGCUGAAGACUUUGCCGGAUUAGCUGAGAGGUGGUGCAUGGCCGUCGUCAGUUCGUACUGUGAAGCAUCCUGUUAAGUCAGGCAACGAGCGAGACCCACGCCCACAGUUGCCAGCGUACUCUCUGGAGUGACGGGUACACUGUGGGGACCGCCGCUGCUAAAGCGGAGGAAGGAAUGGGCAACGGUAGGUCAGUAUGCCCCGAAUAUCCCGGGCUACACGCGAGCUACAAUGGUUGGUACAAUGGGUAUCUACCCCGAAAGGGGACGGGAAUCUCCUAAAACCAAUCUUAGUUCGGAUUGAGGGCUGCAACUCGCCCUCAUGAAGCUGGAAUCCGUAGUAAUCGCGUUUCAACAGAACGCGGUGAAUACGUCCCUGCUCCUUGCACACACCGCCCGUCAAACCACCCGAGUAGGGUCUGAAUGAGAGCGCUUUCUUUGGAGGCGUUCGAAUUUGGGCUUUGCAAGGGGGGUUAAGUCGUAACAAGGUAACCAAGGGCGAAU